CGUGUAGUGUAGAAAUAUAUUCUAGUUUUCUUUUUUUUCAUAUGUUUUUUAUUUGCUCAGCGGUCUCGCAGCGUAGUUAAAAGCAAGUCUAAACAUUUUGUGGCCUCUUGUUGGUUAGAUGUGUGCGUGUUGGGGUCGCAUAAGCCCACGCGGCCCCUCGCGCUCCCCUCCGACCGACCUUCACACUGGAGACAUUUGUUUGCAUUUCAAGCAGCAGCAGGAAAUUAAGCAUUUAGCAUUACAAAUUACACAUUACACGUAUUACGUAUUACAAAUUACACGGUUUAGCAGCUGGGACUUUGACUACGACCAAAACUAGAAAUGAAAACUGAAACUAAAGCUCAUAAAUUGGUUGCAAUCGCACGCUAGAUUGUUGUUGUCCAGGAGACUCGUAAUUAUAAUUAAUUGUUACCUGUAUCCUGGCUGCCACACGCUCGCCGUUGAAACGAUUGGGGUUGAACCAACCCUUCGUCGAGCCCGUCACAAGCACAAUGCCGAGCAGGAAGAAGAGUAUUAACGCGGUUAUAACGAGUUUCGCGCGCGUCGAAAUGACCAUUGCCAUGUUUCAAUUUUGAUAUUUACACACGGUGACACUUUAACACUUAGCACUAGAAACCAACUCGGAUAACACUCACGAUUGCCUGGAAAACAAAAAAGAUGCAUGAGUUGGCAUAUUAA